rnacentral:rRNA from 1 species
GACGAACGCUGGCGGCGUGCUUAACACAUGCAGGUCGAGCGGUAAGGCCCUUUCGGGGGUACACGAGCGGCGAACGGGUGAGUAACACGUGGGUGACCUGCCCUCAGCUCUGGGGUAAGCCUGGGAAACCGGGUCUAAUACCGGAUAUGACUCCAUGACGCAUGUUGUGGGGUGGAAAGCCUUGUGCGGCUGAGGAUGGGCCCGCGGCCUAUCAGCUUGUUGGUGGGGUGAUGGCCACCAAGGCGACGACGGGUAGCCGGCCUGAGAGGGCGACCGGCCACACUGGGACUGAGACACGGCCCAGACUCCUACGGGAGGCAGCAGUGGGGAAUCUUGCGCAAUGGGCGAAAGCCUGACGCAGCGACGCCGCGUGAGGGAUGAC